ACACACACACACACACACACACACACACACACACACACACACACACACACACACACACACACACACACACACACACACACACACACACACACACACACACACACACACAAGAAGAAAUCCUGACAGCACCGAGACAGGAACAGGUCUGAGAAAUGUCCUCCACACCCACAAUGCACCGCGCGUCAGCUGACUGCAGCCUAUUUCCGUGUAAACAGGAAGAACACAAGUUUAUUUAUUUAUUUAAACGUUUUAAUUAUUUUUCUUUUCUGCUUCUUAAAGGAAUGAGAACCUGAACCAUCCUGGACCUCCACACACCAGGAACUGGAGACCUCAUCAUCUUACACCAGGAGGAACUUCACCCUGAUAGAACACAUACUAUACUGAUUUGUUUAUGAACCCUGGGGUUAGGGGUAGGGGUAGGGUUAUUGUUAUUGUUAGGGGUUAGUGUUAGGGGUAGGGUUAUUAGGGGUAGGGUUAUUGUUAGGGGGUA